CUGCGGUAUAAAGGCUGGCGCACAGUUCUGGGUUUGUAUGAAUCCAUGUGGAUCUCUGCCUGCAGACCAUAUGUGGAAGCCACCAGGCAGGUUAAAGAGAUGGUAACACCUCGGACCGCUGGGACUGCGGCUGGACAUCUCACACCUCCUCUUUACCAGGAGCAGAACAAGACAACAGGCUUUCUCCAUUUACACCCAUUGAUUCUUUUGCUAACAUGUGUUUGAGGCUUGUCUGUCUAAAAGUCAAACUUUGGGACGCUUCAGACCAUCGAAGUCGUGUUCUCAACCUUUGUGGACGAAAACUGUCUGUUGAUGCUCUGGUGAGGGAGACGACGGCCCACACAAACACACCAGAACCACGACACAAGGGAGGGGACGCAUCUGUAAUUUACAAAGGUGUGCCAUAG
rnacentral:lncRNA from 1 species